AUUGAACGCUGGCGGCAGGCCUAACACAUGCAAGUCGAACGAGUGGCGGACGGGUGAGUAAUGUCUGGGAAACUGCCUGAUGGAGGGGGAUAACUACUGGAAACGGUAGCUAAUACCGCAUAACAUCAGAUGUGCCCAGAGGGGCUUAGCUGGUUGGUGGGGUAACGGCUCACCAAGGAGACGAUCCCUAGCUGGUCUGAGAGGUUGACCAGCCACCUUGGAACUGAGUCACGGUCCAGACUCCUACGGGAGGCAGCAGUGGGGAAUAUUGCACAAUGGGCGCAAGCCUGAUGCAGCCAUGCCGCGUGUAUGAAGAAGGCCUUCGGGUUGUAAAGUACUUUCAGCGGGGAGGCGUUACCCGCAGAAGAAGCACCGGCUAACUCCGUGCCAGCAGCCGCGGUAAUAC
rnacentral:rRNA from 1 species